rnacentral:rRNA from 1 species
GUCGUGGGGCAGCAUAGUAGUAGACAAUACUUGAUGGCGACCGGCAAACGGGUGAGGAACACGUACACAACCUUCCUUCAAGCGGGGAAUAGCCCAGAGAAAUUUGGAUUAAUACCCAUAAUAUAUUUGAUAAGGCAUCUUAUUAAUAUUAAAGCUUCGGCACUUGAUGAUGGGUGUGCGGCUGAUUAGAUAGUUGGCGGGUAACGGCCCACCAAGUCUACGAUCAGUAGCUGAUGUGAGAGCAUGAUCAGCCACACGGGCACUGAGACACGGGCCCGACUCCUACGGGAGGCAGCAGUAAGGAAUAUUGGACAAUGGACGAAAGUCUAAUCCAGCCAUGCCGCGUGAAGGAUUAAGGUCCUCUGGAUUGUAAACUUCUUUUAUAUGGGACGAAAAAAGGGCAUUCUUGUUCACUUGACGGUACCAUAUGAAUAAGCACCGGCUAACUCCGUG